AAAAAAAAGAGUGAUCUUGGUAAUAAAAUUCAUAUGUAGUUACUGCAGUCACAGAAUGAAGACUGAAAUCUGAAUCCACCUUUUCUUAACAUAAUGCCGUUGC